UAAAGCAAGAAAGGGCGUAUGGGGAAUGCCUAGGCACACUCCGGCGAAGAAGGACGCAGCAAACAGCGAAAUGCGACGGUGAGCGGUAAGCACGUGAAGAGCCGUCGAUAUCCGAAUGGGGGAACCCACACGGAGUCAUAUCCGUGUAUCACAUGUCGAAUACAUAGACAUGAUGAGGCGAGACGCAGGGAACUGAAACAUCUAAGUACCUGCAGGAAGAGAAAAUAAGAAUGAUUUUCUGAGUAGCGGCGAGCGAAAGGGAAAGAGCCCAAACCGAUCUGAGGAUCGGGGUAGUAGGAUCAUCGAUAAAUCAAACAGAGGAUCAUAGAGGAAUCACAUGGGAAGGUGAGCGAGAGAGGGUGAGAGCCCCGUACUCGAAAUGAGAGACUGGAGAGAGAUGACACCUGAGUAGGGCGGGACACGAGAAAUCCUGUCUGAAUCAGCCGGGACCAUCCGGCAAGGCUAAAUACGAGAGAGUGACCGAUAGUGAACCAGUACCGUGAGGGAAAGGUGAAAAGAACCCCGGGAGGGGAGUGAAAGAGAACCUGAAACCAUAUGCCUACAAGAAGUCAGAGCCCGUUAAAGGGUGAUGGCGUGCCUUUUGUAGAAUGAACCGGCGAGUUACUGUAUGGAGCGAGGUUAAGCAGGAUAUGCGGAGCCGAAGCGAAAGCGAGUCUUAAGAGGGCGCGAGUUGCAUGCAGUAGACCCGAAACCGGGUGAUCUAGCCAUGACCAGGUUGAAGUUGGGGUAAAACCCGAUGGAGGACCGAACCGACCCCCGUUGAAACGUUGGCGGAUGACUUGUGGCUAGGGGUGAAAUUCCAAUCGAACCCGGAGAUAGCUGGUUCUCCCCGAAAUAGCUUUAGGGCUAGCGUCGAGAGAAGAGUUGCGUGAAGGUAGAGCACUGAAUAUGUGAUGGCCCCAUCUCGGGGUACUGAGCAUAAUCAAACUGCGAAUGUCACGCCAACAUGCUCGGCAGUCAGACAGCGGGUGAUAAGGUCCGUUGUCAAGAGGGAAACAGCCCAGACCAUCAGCUAAGGUCCCAAAAUGUAUGCUAAGUGGAAAAGGAUGUGGAGAUGUACAGACAACUAGGAGGUUGGCUCAGAAGCAGCCAUCCUUUAAAGAGUGCGUAACAGCUCACUAGUCGAAUGACUCUGCGCCGAUAAUUUACCGGGGCUAAGCAUACUACCGAAGCUAUGGAUCCCAAGGGAUGGUAGGGGAGCGUUCCAUGAACGGAGAAGUACGACCGAAAGGACGUGUGGAGAUCAUGGAAGAGAGAAUGCCGGUGUGAGUAGCGGAACGUGGGUGAGAAUCCCACGCACCGAAAACCCAAGGUUUCCAGAGGAAGGUUCGUCCGCUCUGGGUAAGUCGGGACCUAAGGCGAGGCCGAAAGGCGUAGUCGAUGGACAACAGGUAGAGAUUCCUGUACCCGUAUAUAUGUGAAGGAAUGACGGAGAGAGGAAGCUGCAGCCAGCGGCUGGAAGAGCUGGUGCAAGCGAGAUAUCGGGAUGGCAGGCAAAUCCACCAUCCGAAACGAGAAGGCGUGAAGCGUACGGAAAGCUACGGCGAGUACGGAAGGCAGUGGAGGAACUUCCAAGAAAAGUUUCUAACGUUAAGUAUAUAUGGCCCGUACCGAAAAUGGACACACAUGGGUGAGGAGAGAAUCCUAAGGUGAGCGAGAGAACUAUAGCUAAGGAACUCUGCAAAAUGACUCCGUAACUUAGGGAGAAGGAGUGCUCAUAGAGAUAUGAGCCGCAGUGAAACGGCCCAAGCGACUGUUUAGCAAAAACACAGCUCUCUGCUAAGCCGCAAGGCGAAGUAUAGGGGGUGACGCCUGCCCGGUGCUGGAAGGUUAAGGGGAGGGGUUAACGCAAGUGAAGCCCUGAACUGAAGCCCCAGUAAACGGCGGCCGUAACUAUAACGGUCCUAAGGUAGCGAAAUUCCUUGUCAGGUAAGUUCUGACCC
rnacentral:rRNA from 1 species